rnacentral:rRNA from 1 species
AACGUAGGUGGCGAGCGUUAUCCGGAUUCAUUGGGCGUAAAGAGCGUGUAGGCGGCCAGGUAGGUCUGCUGUGAAAACUCGAGGCUUAACCUCGAGAUGUCGGCGGAAACCAUCUGGCUAGAGUCCGGAAGAGGAGAAUGGAAUUCCCGGUGUAGCGGUGAAAUGCGUAGAUAAUCUGGAGGAACACCGGUGGCGAAGGCGGCGAUCCUGGACCGGCAUUGACGCUGAGGCGCGAAGCCAGGGGAGCAAACGGG